GAAUUUAUUGUAAGUGCUGGUAAUUUGGGAUUGAUUGCUAGAAACUUGGGGUUGUGAGGCAUGCUAAACGACAUUGUUUAGCUAAGAACAUCAGAGUUUGGGCAUUCCCUACGACCGACAGUUCCGAACCCAUUCAGUUCUUCUCUCAAUUCAGUCCAGUUCAGUUAAGUUGACAUCUCACAUGAUUUUAGUUUUCCUGUUUUUCGAUUUCAGUUUGAUUUGGAACCAAACUGCCAGUU
rnacentral:misc_RNA from 1 species